UUUAAAGCACCUAUUAUUACAGUGUUUUUUUUUAUCAGUGCAUUACAUAAAGUUAUUAAGUGCUUCUGUCCUGUCACCUUCUUUGCUUCAGGCUUGAGUCCCAGAGCAGCAUGAGGAUUUACACUUCCGAAGCAGAAGAGUGAAUGGAAUUGAAGGAUUUAUGUGGAAGAUUCUGAAUUCUCCCCUUUCCUGCUCCAGGAAAGGCAGGGGCCUGCUCUGAGACCUCUGGGUAUGUUCCCUGUGUGCUACUGAAGCUGACUUGAACCGUGUGACAAAUGAGAUACAGGUGGAUCACUCUCUACCAGAUCUCAAGGCAAAUAUUGCUCUAUGGUCCUUGCUCUCGGCAACAUCUUCAGUGUCCUGGUGAUGGGGUGCCUUGGAAGGACUGCGCAGAACAAGCUUCAUACCACCUCUGCACUUCAGGCUCUCUGCACUGGGCCGAAAGCUGGGAGCAGGAAGCGGCUGCGCCCUGACGGCCGUCGUUUCCCCUGCGAGCCCCUCCUGUGUCCUGCCAGCUGCUCUCUGACAGCCACAUCGCCCGGGCUUCGGUACCAGCGGGCACGCCGCUGACUCCCAGCUAGGAAACUUUCCGGGGCUACCUUCUCUUCCCAAGCGAUAAGGUCAGCCUGGGGGAAAAAAAAAAAAAAAAAAAAGUACUAAUAAUAAAUAAUAACUUAAAAAAAAUAACCA
rnacentral:lncRNA from 1 species